CAUUGAUGACAAAGCCAAGAUGCGUUUGUGGUUAUGAGUUGUAAACCUGAGUCCCAGUUCUCCAGGCAUCCUAGGAUGUGUGCAUUGACCCCGUUCUACAGGAACAGCUCAGUGUCCUGCAGGAGGUGGUGGGUUUUGCUGCUGUAGCCACACUGCUCCGCAAAGCCUGCAAGAAACAGCCUCACAGGAGAGUGAAGAACGUGGUUUAGCACCAGCACAGCUUUGCACAGUGCUGGUGUGGAUCACUGCCUCAGUUUGAAUGUUUUAGAUAUUACGGUUUUGCAUCACGGUUACUCUGAUCCAAACAACCUGAUGUUUACUGAAAUUAAAGUCCUGGGGGUGCCCUUCGACGUUAUACAGGUGACCAUAUCGCAGAAUGGUGGGACAAUCGCAUCAUCUCAUUCCGUGGACUACAAUGACACCAAGCAGCUCCUGACAAUCACAAACCUUCAACUUGAAUUAGGCAAAAGCUACACCGUGCAAUGGAGCUAAAAUGCCUGCAAAAUAACAUCAUCCAUACUACUGAAUUUUCUCACUAUUUUAAAACUAUCUUUCAGUUUUCCAACUUUCAUAUUGCAUUUCUGUCAUCUUAGAAUACUUUUUACUAUAAAAACAUACUAGUUACAGUUAGUUCAUAUUCACGUAUUACGCGUACAAAGCAGUCACAUUUCAGUACUGCUGAAGGCCAACUACAAGGUAUUGAUGUGAUGCAAAAAUCUACAAUUUAAACAGCAUGGCGCUUCUGUAUAACUUCAUCUUUCAAAACUGAGAACUGAAUGUAUGUUUUUUCGGAAUAGAAUUUCUGGCUGACUUCAUGCAUGCUAAAUCUUUUUUUUUGUAAAAAAAAAAAAAAAAAGAUACAGUUGGUGUUACCUGAAUGGAUUUGGGGCCAUAAGUCUGCAUAUAUUUAAUUCAUCUUAAUUUUAAUUAUGGCUAUGUAAGUCACUACUACAGAGAAGCAUUUAAGGCCAGACAAAGCAAAUGUUUUCAGAUUACUGAUUUAGCAUGAAAUGAUGUUUCAAUUUGUUGAUCUAUAAAAUACUAAGAUACUUGCAGAAGUCAUAGGGUUUUUUUCUUUUUGGGGGGGAGGUGUCAGCGGGGCUUUUGUAUAACUUUAGCCAAACAGUUGUAUUCCCCAUUGUUUUGAUCUGAAGAUGUAAGAUUAAACCUGAAGUUUCAAGGUUAACUAA
rnacentral:lncRNA from 1 species